rnacentral:rRNA from 1 species
GACGAACGCUGGCGGCGUGCCUAAUACAUGCAAGUAGAACGCUGAAGGAGGAGCUUGCUCUUCUGGAUGAGUUGCGAACGGGUGAGUAACGCGUAGGUAACCUGCCUGGUAGCGGGGGAUAACUAUUGGAAACGAUAGCUAAUACCGCAUAACAGUAGAUGUUGCAUGACAUUUGCUUAAAAGGUGCAAUUGCACCACUACCAGAUGGACCUGCGUUGUAUUAGCUAGUUGGUGGGGUAACGGCUCACCAAGGCGACGAUACAUAGCCGACCUGAGAGGGUGAUCGGCCACACUGGGACUGAGACACGGCCCAGACUCCUACGGGAGGCAGCAGUAGGGAAUCUUCGGCAAUGGACGGAAGUCUGACCGAGCAACGCCGCGGGAGUGAAGAAGGGUGUCGGAUCGUAAAGCUCUGUUGUAAGAGAAGAACGAGUGUGAGAGUGGAAAGUUCACACUGUGACGGUAUCUUACCAGAAAGGGACGGCUAACUACGUG